GACGAACGCUGGCGGCGUGCUUAACACAUGCAAGUCGAACGGAAAGGCCCUGCUUUUGUGGGGUGCUCGAGUGGCGAACGGGUGAGUAACACGUGAGUAACCUGCCCUUGACUUUGGGAUAACUUCAGGAAACUGGGGCUAAUACCGGAUAGGAGCUCCUGCUGCAUGGUGGGGGUUGGAAAGUUUCGGCGGUUGGGGAUGGACUCGCGGCUUAUCAGCUUGUUGGUGGGGUAGUGGCUUACCAAGGCUUUGACGGGUAGCCGGCCUGAGAGGGUGACCGGCGACAUUGGGACUGAGAUACGGCCCAGACUCCAACGGGAGGCAGCAGUGGGGAAUAUUGCACAAUGGGCGGAAGCCUGAUGCAGCAACGCCGCGUGCGGGAUGACGGCCUUCGGGUUGUAAACCGCUUUCGCCUGUGACGAAGCGUGAGUGACGGUAAUGGGUAAAGAAGCACCGACUAACUACGUG
rnacentral:rRNA from 1 species